rnacentral:rRNA from 1 species
GUGGGGAAUAUUGGACAAUGGGCGCAAGCCUGAUCCAGCAAUGCCGCGUGCAGGAAGAAGGCGCUACGCGUUGUAAACUGCUUUUAACCGGGAAGAAACCCCAGGACGUGUCCUGGGUUGACGGUACCGUAAGAAUAAGCACCGGCUAACUACGUGCCAGCAGCCGCGGUAAUACGUAGGGUGCAAGCGUUAAUCGGAAUUACUGGGCGUAAAGCGUGCGCAGGCGGAUUUGUAAGACAGGCGUGAAAUCCCCGGGCUCAACCUGGGAAUUGCGCUUGUGACUGCAAGGCUGGAGUGCGGCAGAGGGGGAUGGAAUUCCGCGUGUAGCAGUGAAAUGCGUAGAUAUGCGGAGGAACACCGAUGGCGAAGGCAAUCCCCUGGGCCUGCACUGACGCUCAUGCACGAAAGCGUGGGGAGCAAACAGGAUUAGAUACCCCUGUAGUCC